rnacentral:rRNA from 1 species
AUGAGGGCGGCGCGGCAGUUGGUGAACGUGGUGAUGCGCACAGGCACCACCUACUCGGUGAGCCGCAUCAAGCCCGAGAAGAAGCUCUUCUACGCAUCCGUAGAGGAAGCGCGAACCGCGGCGCCGCCCAUGAAGAAGAUUCCGGCCAUGUCGAGGAUGCCCAAGCCCAAUCUCAGGCUCGAGGCGUACCGCCUGGACGACAUGCGGCUCGAUUUCCUGCCCCUGUACGGUCGCGGCGGCGACAGCAGCAGCAGCAGCGAGAUCCUCUCCGUGGACUCGGCAGGCCACACCAUCCUCUGCGACGCGAGCUCUGGCUGCGUCCAGCCUGCCCCCAGCCUCGGCGAGCCCAAGGGGGACAGCCCCAUCUCGUUCACCAUCGCUCGCGUCGGCGCCCCCGCCCCCGCCGCCGUGGCUCUGUACGUCAUGGACAGGUUCCCCACCGGCCGCAGCUCGUGCAGCUUCGAGUCCCUCGCCUACGGCGAGAACAACUGCUGGGAGUGGAGCCGGCUCCCGCCGCCGCCCUAUGUCAACGACCCGGCCUACGACUGCACCGCUAUCCACUCCUACACGCUGCUCAAUGCAGGCUCCACCAUCUGCAUAUCCUCCUCCGGGCGCAGCCCCAUCGGGACCUACUGCUUCGACACGGCUAGCCGCAAGUGGAGUAAGGCUGGCCGCUGGGCGCUGCCCUUCUACGGCCGGGCCGAGCAUGUCCCUGAGCUUGGCAACCUCUGGUUCGGCAUGGCUGACAGCAGCCCCAACAACCUGUGCGCGUCGGACCUCUCCAGCCUCGACGCCGGGGCUCCCAGGAUGCUACGUGAGUGGCAAGUCCUCGACCCGCCUCAGGGCUGGGUGCAAAUAAGGGGCUGCCUGCUCUACCUGGGAGCCGGCAGGUUUUGCAUCAACAAAGUUUUUGACAUUGGGGACGAGGGCAGGACCAAGAGUGACAAUCAGGCUGCUGUCAUGACCGGUGUGGAGGUGGUGCAUGAUGAAACAGACCAACUACAGAUGAUCAAACACAAGUCCUGUGUCAGCUAUGCAGGCAUCCAGUUUAUCCUUUAG